rnacentral:rRNA from 1 species
UACAGAGGUCCCAAGCGUUGUUCGGAUUCAUUGGGCGUAAAGGGUGUGUAGGUGGCGCUGUAAGUCGGGUGUGAAAUUUCGGAGCUUAACUCCGAAACUGCAUUCGAUACUGCCGUGCUUGAGGACUGGAGAGGAGACUGGAAUUUACGGUGUAGCGGUGAAAUGCGUAGAUAUCGUAAGGAAGACCAGUGGCGAAGGCGGGUCUCUGGACAGUUCCUGACGCUGAGGCACGAAGGCCAGGGCAGCAAACGGG